UACGUAGGGUGCGAGCGUUAAUCGGAAUUACUGGGCGUAAAGCGUGCGCAGGCGGUUCGUAAAGUCUGAUGUGAAAGCCCCGGGCUCAACCUGGGAACUGCAUUGGAAACUAGCGAGCUUGAGUGUGGCAGAGGGGGGUGGAAUUCCACGUGUAGCAGUGAAAUGCGUAGAGAUGUGGAGGAACACCGAUGGCGAAGGCAGCCCCCUGGGCUGACACUGACGCUCAGGCACGAAAGCGUGGGGAGCAAACAGG
rnacentral:rRNA from 1 species